AUUGCCCUAGUAACGGCGAGUGAAGCGGCAACAGCUCAAAUUUGAAAUCUGGCGCAAGCCCGAGUUGUAAUUUGUAGAGGAUGUUUCUGGCGACGUGCCUUCCGAGUUCCCUGGAACGGGACGCCAUAGAGGGUGAGAGCCCCGUACGGUUGGAUGCCUAGCCUCUGUGAAACUCCUUCGACGAGUCGAGUAGUUUGGGAAUGCUGCUCUAAAUGGGAGGUAUACGUCUUCUAAAGCUAAAUACCGGCCAGAGACCGAUAGCGCACAAGUAGAGUGAUCGAAAGAUGAAAAGCACUUUGAAAAGAGGGUUAAAAAGUACGUGAAAUUGUUGAAAGGGAAGCGUUUAUGACCAGACUUGGGCAGGUUGAUCAUCCGUGGUUCUCCGCGGUGCACUCUGCCUGCCCAGGCCAGCAUCAGUUCGCCCCGGGGGAUAAAGGUUUCGGGAAUGUGGCUCCUCCGGGAGUGUUAUAGCCCGUUGCGUAAUACCCUGAGGUGGACUGAGGUUCGCGCACUGCAAGGAUGCUGGCGUAAUGGUCAUCAACGACCCGUCUUGAAACACGGACCAAGGAGUCGUCUUCGUAUGCGAGUGUUCGGGUGUCAAACCCCUACGCGUAAUGAAAGUGAACGUAGGAGAGAGCUUCGGCGCAUCUCCGACCGAUCCUGAUGUUCUCGGAUGGAUUUGAGUAAGAGCAUACGGAGCCGGACCCGAAAGAAGGUGAACUAUGCCUGUAUAGGGUGAAGCCAGAGGAAACUCUGGUGGAGGCUCGCAGCGGUUCUGACGUGCAAAUCGAUCGUCAAAUAUGGGCAUGGGGGCGAAAGACUAAUCGAACCUUCUAGUAGCUGGUUUCCGCCGAAGU
rnacentral:rRNA from 1 species